UGAAGUACGGGAUAUUGGUCCGGUUCAAUGAGAAACCAGUGCUCAUGCAUUUUUUGGGCCCUGCUUUUUUGUUGAGCCGUGCCAAUAUCACGUGCCACUGC
rfam:Cephalotus follicularis DNA, scaffold: scaffold511, isolate: St1.